UGACAAAUCAGAUUUUGACGAGAUCCAUGGUAAACAGUGGCAAACCGGGCAACCAAUAUUGAAAUCGGAAUCCUAGCUCUAAUUUGUGGACAUUUUCCCCUUUUUUCUUUAUUAACUAUUGCAUUAAUUGAAUAAUUUUUCCUGAAGGGGUUAAAACUUAAGGCCUAAAACCAAUUUGUGAAACUACAUUUCUUCUUAAAAAUUAGGGUCAGGCUAGCUGAAUCGGGCCGAGCAGGGAUUAUUUGAUCGCGCACAAACACUGAAUGUUUUAAAGCUGUACUGCACCAACAGUCGUGUUUUUUGUGCUGCUAAGAACGCAGUGUCGCGUGCCUAUCUCUGAUCCCCAUCAACAGCAG